rnacentral:rRNA from 1 species
UACGUAGGGGGCAAGCGUUGUCCGGAAUCACUGGGCGUAAAGCGCACGUAGGCGGGUCCUUAAGUCAGGGGUGAAAUCCCGGAGCUCAACUCCGGAACUGCCUUUGAUACUGGGGAUCUUGAGUCCGGAAGAGGUGAGUGGAACUCCGAGUGUAGAGGUGAAAUUCGUAGAUAUUCGGAAGAACACCAGUGGCGAAGGCGGCUCACUGGUCCGGUACUGACGCUGAGGUGCGAAAGCGUGGGGAGCAAACAGG